rfam:Gossypium raimondii Chr11_contig_699, whole genome shotgun sequence.
AUUCUAUGAUGAGGACACUUCCAUAAUAAUUCUUUGUACCUUUCCCAUGCCUCAUACAAUGAUUCAUCAUCCAUUUGUUGUAAAACAGUGAUCUAGUUCCUCAACUU